rnacentral:rRNA from 1 species
GAUGAACGCUGGCGGCGUGCCUAAUACAUGCAAGUCGAGCGAACGGACGAGAAGCUUGCUUCUCUGAUGUUAGCGGCGGACGGGUGAGUAACACGUGGAUAACCUACCUAUAAGACUGGGAUAACUUCGGGAAACCGGAGCUAAUACCGGAUAAUAUUUUGAACCGCAUGGUUCAAAAGUGAAAGACGGUCUUGCUGUUACUUAUAGAUGGAUCCGCGCUGCAUUAGCUAGUUGGUAAGGUAACGGCUUACCAAGGCAACGAUGCAUAGCCGACCUGAGAGGGGGAUCGGCCACCCUGGAACUGAGACACGGUCCAGACUCCUAAGGGAGGCAGCAGUAGGGAAUGUUCCGCAAUGGGCGAAAGCCUGACGGAGCAACGCCGCGUGAGCGAUGAAGGUCUUCGGAUCGUAAAACUCUGUUAUUAGGGAAGAACAUAUGUGUAAGUAACUGUGCACAUCUUGACGGUACCUAAUCAGAAAGCCACGGCUAACUACGUG